UUAUGCGACCCGUUUUACCGAUCGUUUGGUUGGGUGUGUCCUUAGUCGCCCCAGAGAAGCCAUACCCUUAAGAGGUUGAGUCGAAAGACAAAGGAAGUAGAAAAGGCUGGGGCAAAUAUCUAAAUCAUUAAAAUGCAUCAAAACCAAAUUUAUCCUUAAAGUGUGUCAUUCUG
rnacentral:pre_miRNA from 1 species